CCGAGUUUACAACUCCCAAACCCCUGUGAACAUACCAAUCUCAGUUGCUUCGGCGGGACCGCCCCGGCGCCCUCGGGCCCGGACCCAGGCGCCCGCCGGAGGCCCCAAACUCUUGUUUUAUUCUGUGGAUCUUCUGAGUGAUACAAGCAAAUAAAUCA
rnacentral:misc_RNA from 1 species